AUUGAACGCUGGCGGCAGGCCUAACACAUGCAAGUCGAGCGGAGCGGCGGACGGGUGGGUAAUGCAUAGGAAUCGGCCUGGUAGUGGGGGAUAACGUACGGAAACGGGCGCUAAUACAGCAUACUAUCAGAUGGGCCUAGGUCGGAUUAGCUAGUUGGUGGGGUAAAGGCCUAACAAGGCGACGAUCCGUAACUGGUCUGAGAGGAUGAUCAGUCACACUGGAACUGAGACACGGGCCAGACUCCUACGGUAGGCAGCAGUGGUGAAUAUUGGACAAUGGGCGAAAGCCUGAUGCAGCCAUGCCGCGUGUGUGAAGAAGGCCUUCGGAUUGUAAAGCACUUUAAGUUGGGAGGCGUUACCAACAGAAUAAGCACCGGCUAACUCCGUGCCAGCAGCCGCGGUAAUAC
rnacentral:rRNA from 1 species